rnacentral:rRNA from 1 species
AGAGUUUGAUCAUGGCUCAGAGCGAACGCUGGCGGCGUGCUUAACACAUGCAAGUCGAGUGCGCGUUUUCGUAGCAAUACGGAAAUGGCGCACGGCGCACGGGUGCGUAACACGUGGGUAAUCUGCCCUUCGAUGGGGAAUAACUCGCCGAAAGGCGAGCUAAUUCCGCAUAACAUUCCUUGGACUCCGGUUCGAGGAUUCAAAGGCGUAAGUCGUCGGAGGUGGAGCCCGCGCACGAUUAGCUAGUUGGUGAGGUAAUGGCUCACCAAGGCUAUGAUCGUUAGCUGGUCUGAGAGGAUGGCCAGCCACACUGGAACUGAGACACGGUCCAGACUCCUACGGGAGGCAGCAGUGGGGAAUCUUGCACAAUGGGCGAAAGCCUGAUGCAGCGACGCCGCGUGGGGGAUGAAGCUUCUCGGAGUGUAAACCCCUUUCGACCGGGACGAAUACCUCGCAAGAGGAGUGACGGUACCGGUAUAAGAAGCCCCGGCUAACUACGUGCCAGCAGCCGCGGUAAGACGUAGGGGGCCAGCGUUGCUCGGAAUUACUGGGUGUAAAGGGUUCGUAGGCGGUGUGGCAAGUCGGGAGUGAAAUCUCUGGGCUCAACCCAGGGGCUGCUUCCGAAACUGCCGUGCUAGAGUGUGGGAGAGGCGCGUGGAAUUGCAGGUGUAGCGGUGAAAUGCGUAGAUAUCUGCAGGAACACCCGUGGCGAAAGCGGCGCGCUGGACCACUACUGACGCUGAGGAACGAAAGCUAGGGGAGCAAACAGGAUUAGAUACCCUAGUAGUCC